CUGAGUACUGUGUAUUGCAAAUUGGAAAUGUAAUACCAGGCAGAUGUGUCAUCAUCUGACGAAAGUGAAACUCAAAGAAGAAUCAUUUUUGACCAGCAAUCAGACUUUGGAAAGAAAGGAAUAGAAAAAAGGAAAAAAACUCUGGAGAGAAUUUGAGAUUUAUUUGAUACCAAUAAUACCUUAUAUAUAGUGGAAAAUGGCCAUUUAAAAUAUAUAUAUUGCUAGACAAGCCAUUAUCCUCCAAACUCUUAGGAAUCUUCAUUAAUAUUCCUGAAUGCAUUAUUGCAGGCAAGAUUUUAGAAUCAUUUAGAAUAUGUGCCACCAGGACAUUCCCCACAGGAAUAUCCCUUCUCCUACCAGCUCUGAGCUUGGGAAGCUUGGUUCACUUUGACCCCCUCCCCCAACUAUGAAUGCCAAUUCUUAGGUCUCUGCCAUUGUGGAGUCAGCUGGCAUACAUGGAAGGAGGAUGGCAGUCUGUUCAUCCUUCAACACCACCAGUUAAACUGAAGAAUGUCUGCGGGCAUCAUCUGCAAGUCCAAAAGGCUAAAUCAAGAAUAAAAGCAAAACGAAAUUCAAAAGAGAAGGGAAUUCUUACUACCUUCUGCGUGAGGCAGGAUCUCGUUCUGUCGCCCAGGCUGGAAUGCACUGGAAAGAGCAUAUCUCACUGCAGCCUUGACUUCCUGGCCAGUCUUUUUUUACACCUUAGCCUCCCAAGCAGCUGUUACUACAGCAGCAGCAGAAUCCAGGUUGCACUUUUUUCAUUCCUUGAAGAACCUGCCUUAUGACCACCACCACCAGCCACCCAACCACCACCACCAACACGAGCAUCUGCUACCUGGUGUCUGCUCCUGAGAUGCUGGAGUUUCAGGACUACAGUGCCCUUCUCUGUUUCUAUUAAUAAGUUUUUUUCUUUGUUCUUUUUGAUCUCUCAGGCUUGGGGAUGAUACUUGUUUUCUGAAUUGCUUUUUCCAUGAUUUGUUAGAGUUCUCUUUUUACCAUUUCAUAGUUAACACCUUAAAAGCUAUAUAACUAUUGUUUAUAUUAAGUUCUCUCUAUCAAAUAACACGUGUAUUUUCUGUCUCCUGAUUAGACCAUAGAGGGCCACUGUGGAUACAACAUGCCCUCUCAGCACUAAUUUGGCCUGGCAGCCUUUCUAAGGAGCACCACUCCAUGUUUCCAGAUUAAAUAAACAUUUAACUAUAAUGGCAAUUUAAGCACUUAUUUUUAUAGAAGAAUUAAAUAAGUAUUCUCAAUCAUUGCAAAAUAGAAGAACCUAAGAGUUGUAAUGACUUUAUCUGAUUCUUUCUCUUCUACCACACAAGGGAGAGACAAAGUCCUUGCAUUUAGGGCUUCAUAUGGUUGUCCCUUGUUUCUGAACUCUAUCUGCUCAUAUCCUGAUCUUCCUGUUGCAGACCCUGCUCACUCCUCCACCAUCUAGGGUCCUCAUGUAUUUUCUUCAGAAAAUACAACUUCUUUCCAUGUCACAGAAGAACUGUCAUCAUUAUGUGUAAUUAAACUACACAGGCUAGAUGGUGAUGGAGUUUUCCUUGGCCUGCAUGUUGCUAAAGGAACACAGGAGUUUGCCAAGGGGAUACUGUGGUUCUGGUACUGUAAGUGAGGUAAAGUUGGUGAGGGCUCUGUUAGAUAUAGAAAGUUCCUCUUCAAACUAUACUACAAGGCUACAGUAAUUCAAACAGCAUGGAACUGGGACCAAAACAGAGAUGUAGACCAAUGGAACAGAACAGAGUCCUCAGAGGUAAUGCCACACAUCUACAACCAUUUGAUCUUUGACAAACAGGACAAAAACAAACAAUGGGGAAAGGAUUCCCUGUUUAAUAAAUGGUGUUGGGAAAGCUGACUAGCCAUGUGCAUAAGGCAGAAACUGGACCCAUUCCUGACACCUUAUGCUAAAGUUAACUCCAGAUGGAUUAAAGACUUAAUCAUCAAAUUAAGUCAAGAAGCAAGAUUAGAGGAAAAAGAGUGAAAAGAAAUGAACAGAGCAUCCAAGAAUAUGGGAUUUUAUGAAAAGACCUAAUCUACAUUUGAUCAGUGUACCUGAAUGUGACAGAGAGAAUGAAUCCAAGCUGGAAAAUACUCUUCAGGAUAUUAUCCAGGGGAACUUCCCCAACCUAGCAAGGCAGGCCAACAUUCAAGUCAGAUUCACCAGGAAAUACAGAGACUACCACAAAGAUAUUCCUCAGGAAGGGCAACCCAUCUCUACUGAAAAUGCAAAAAUACAAAAAUUAGCUGGGUAUGUGGUGUGUGCCUGUAAUCCCAGUUACUCAAGAGGCUGAGGCAGGAGAAUCACGUGAACUUGGGAAGCGGAGGCUACAGAGAGGCCAGAUUGUGCCACUGCACUCCAGCUUGGGUGUCAGAGUGAGACUCCAUCUCAAAAUAAAAAUAAAAAUAAAAACACUGCUAAGUAUCUGGAUCACCUCUGGGUAGUUCUGUAUUGAUUUCCUCUUCAGGAUUCUUCAUAUUUUUCAGUUGCUUCACAUGGCUAGUAAUUUUGGAUUUUAUACUGGAACUUGUAACUUGUAAAUCUUAUAUUUAGAGAUUCUGAAGUCUUUAAAUUCUUGUAAAUUAUUUUAUUUAUUUAUUCAUGUUUUGUUAAAGCAAGAAACUCUCAACUCUGUCAUUUCAGCAGUGGACAGCAGCACAAAUCUCCUAUAAAGUCAUUUAACCUUGGCUGGGUUGCAUAGUCUGAACAAUGCAUUUGUAGGUCAGGAGUCAUCUACAUGGUGUGGGCAGAGUUUGUACACAGCAUGUAGAGUGUUUUGUCUCUGUGAAUCUCUGUUCCAAGAUAUGUGUCCUCAUUUCCCAGUUCCUGUGGUUUUCUUAAAUGGUGACCUCUGGUUCUUUAAGCUGGUAAAAACAUUGAUUUUCUAUCUGAGUUUUCACCAUACUACCUGGCAAUGAGUGUGGCCUGCCCUUAGUCCAGGACCCAUAAAAGUGGUAAAAUCGCCCAAUGCCCUUUCCUCCUUCCAGUGUACAUUCUCCUCUAGAGUCGGCCUGGUUUUCUUUGUUCGCCAGUGCCCAGGUACUGGUUUCUUUACGUUGUCCUGCAUUUGUGGUUGUUAUACACAAGAGGUUGGUCUGUUAUAUAAAUACAUAUACAUCAAAGAUUUAGAUGUUUAAAAAAACCACAAAGUUACUUUUAAAAGUGUGGAUUAAUAUUUUUAUAAUGUGAGAGUAUGAAACACCUUUCUAAGCAUGACAUAAAACCUGGAAGCCCCUAAGAAAAAUAUCGACAAAUUAUACCACACCAUAUAAAGUAAAAUGUCUGUAUGAUUAGAAACAUAAUAAAGCAAGGCAGGGCCAGGGGCAGUGGCUCACGCCUGUAAUCCUAGCACUCUGGGAGGCCGAGGUGGGCUGAUCACCAGAGGUCAGGAGUUCAAGACCAGCAUGGCCAACAUGGUGAAACACCGUCUCUACUAAAAAUACGAAAAUUAGCUGGGUGUGGUGGUGCAUGUCUGUAAUCGUAGCAACUUGGGAGGCUGAGGCAGGAGAAUCAAUCACUUGAACUCAGGAAGUGGAAGCUGCGAUGAGCCCAGAUCGUGCCACUGCACUCCAGCCUUGGAGUCAGAGCGAGACUCCCUCUCAAAAUAAAAAUAAAGAAACAAGAAAAUCAAAAGAGGAACUGGGACAAUACCUGCAGCACAUGUGACACAAUGAAAAGACAGUUUCCUGAAUGUGCAGACUUCUCUUCCAAGUUUGGACCUGACAUACAAUAGCCUAUUCAUCAUCUGUACGUGCGUUACACACAUCAUAAACUCAACAUGUCCCGACUGAUGUGUAACAUUCUUCCCCAGAACUGGUCUUCUUUCAGUGUCCCCUCUCUCUUUAAAUAGCAACACUAUUAUCCAGUUGUUUAAAUGAGAAAUUGACACAUCGACUGACAAAUUCCUUUCCCUUCCUCUCCUAACCAUCAUUAAUCAUGCUAUAAAUUCUUCCUGCUAACCACAUUUGAAUAAUCCAAUGUGACAAUCUUCAUUGUUGCCUCCAUCAUCUCUAGCCUAAAUUAUAUAAUAAACUUCUAACUGCUG